GGGUGUGAUCAUACCAGCACUAAUGCACCGGAUCCCAUCAGAACUCCGAAGUUAAGCUGCUUGGGCGAGAGUAGUUCUAGGAUGGGUGACCUCAUGGGAAGUCCUUGUGUUGCACCAC
rnacentral:rRNA from 1 species